CCUACGGUGCGCAGCAGUGAGGAAUAUUGGUCAAUGGACGAGAGUCUGAACCAGCCAAGUAGCGUGAAGGAUGACUGCCCUAUGGGUUGUAAACUUCUUUUAUAUGGGAAUAAAAUGUUCCACGUGUGGGAUGUUGUAUGUACCAUAUGAAUAAGGAUAGGCUAACUCCGUGCCAGCAGCCGCGGUAAUAAGGAGGAUCCGAGCGUUAUCCGGAUUUAUUGGGUUUAACGGGAGCGUAGGUGGAUUGUUAAGUCAGUUGUGAAAGUUUGCGGAUCAAACGUAAAAUUGCAGUUGAAACUGGCAGUCUUGAGUACAGUAGAGGUGGGCGGAAUUCGUGGUGUAGCGGUGAAAUGCUUAGAUAUCACGAAGAACUCCGAUUGCGAAGGCAGUUCACUGGACUGCAACUGACACUGAGGCUCGAAAGUGUGGGUAUCAAACAGGAUUAGAUACCCGUGUAGUC
rnacentral:rRNA from 1 species